rnacentral:rRNA from 1 species
GAUGAACGCUGGCGGCGUGCCUAAUACAUGCAAGUCGAGCGAACAGACGAGGAGCUUGCUCCUCUGACGUUAGCGGCGGACGGGUGAGUAACACGUGGAUAACCUACCUAUAAGACUGGGAUAACUUCGGGAAACCGGAGCUAAUACCGGAUAAUAUAUUGAACCGCAUGGUUCAAUAGUGAAAGACGGUUUUGCUGUCACUUAUAGAUGGAUCCGCGCCGCAUUAGCUAGUUGGUAAGGUAACGGCUUACCAAGGCAACGAUGCGUAGCCGACCUGAGAGGGUGAGCGGCCACACUGGAACUGAGACACGGUCCAGACUCCUACGGGAGGCAGCAGUAGGGAAUCUUCCGCAAUGGGCGAAAGCUUGACGGGGCAACGCCGCGUGAGUGAUGAAGGUCUUCGGAUCGUAAAACUCUGUUAUUAGGGAAGAACAAAUGUGUAAGUAACUAUGCACGUCUUGACGGUACCUAAUCAGAAAGCCACGGCUAACUACGUG